CAGACUCCGCAGCUGAAUCUAGCUGGCCAUUGUGACCCGACUUCUAGUGGUUGCACAUGGUUGAGUGAUGACAUUAAAGCAUGCCAGGAUCAAGGCAUCAAGGUGUUGCUUUCCAUCGGAGGUGCCUCGGGAAGCUAUACUUUGAUCUCUGCAGAGGAUGCCAGGUGAUUAUUCUUCAAAAAUAUAUAGACUAUGUUUGGUUCCUAAGAAAAAAAUACUGAAGAAAAGAUCAGUGCUGAUUCUAUUGUUGUGAUGCAGGGAAGUUGCAAAUUACCUAUGGAACAAUUUUUUCGGGGGCCAAUCAAGCUCACGACCGUUAGGAGAUGCUGUUCUAGAUGGGAUUGAUUUUGACAUUGAGGGAGGCACAACCCAGCACUGGGAUGAACUAGCCAAGGCCUUGUCGGAGUUCAGCGGGCAGAGGAAGGUGUACCUAUCAGCAGCUCCACAGUGCCCAUUUCCGGAUGCAUGGUUGGGCACUGCCAUUGCCACAGGUCUAUUCGACUAUGUUUGGGUCCAAUUCUACAACAAUCCCCCCUGCCAAUACUCCGGCAACGCUGACAACCUUAUCAACUCCUGGAACCAAUGGACCACGAUUGAAGCUGGUCAAGUAUUUUUGGGGUUGCCUGCAGCCUCAGCAGCAGCCGGAUCUGGCUACAUCGAACCGGACGUGCUCGUCUCCCAGGUCCUGCCGUCCAUCAAGACUUCCCCCAAGUAUGGAGGUGUGAUGCUUUGGUCUAGAUAUUAUGAUAAUGGCUAUAGUGCAGCCAUUCUGUCCAGUGUUUGAAGUCUUGUCUUCCUAUAUAUGUCUACUUCUAAUAUGGUCACAUAAAUGAGCUUUGAUACUUUCUGAAACUUGAAUGAAAUAUAAAUUUUCUGCUGUGAUGAUUAAUACAAAUAUAUAUAUAGAUGGCACAAUAUCUUUCAAAGGCUCUCUCUAAAAGCCUCUGCUUACCAAGCAGCCCAUUUGCCUCAACCAUGUACUCCCAACUCUACUUUGCAAUUCCCUUGCUGAUCUUGCAGUUUAUCAAUCUCAUCACAUUUAAAUUUUUUUAAAUGAAAAUAUUAUCGUAGAACCCUAUUGAAAUAUAUGGUCAAUACAAAAAUCAUAGGCAUAGGAGAAAGGCCACAUUAAUGAGUCACGGCUCAUGAAUGCCAAUCCAGUUAGCUUUCCAUAGCUUUCCAUUUCGGGUAGUUGGAUGUCCAGGGUGCCAAUCAAGUUAGGCAGAUGUUUCCAUUUCCAGAUCAUUUUUAACAGAAGCAAAGUUUGGCAUAAGAAAAUAGUGAAAUAUGGGCUAUGAAAUGGGCAUAUUCCUACAUCCAACAGAUUCAUUAAACCACCAACCAAACAAUAAUCAAUGGCUCUCCAUAGCUUUCCAUUUCGGGUAAUUGGAUUUCUAGGGUGCCAAUCCAGUUAGGCAGAUGUUUCCAUUUCCAUAUUAUUUUUAACAGAAGCAAAGUUUGGCAUAAGAAAAUAGCUGGAUUAUUAAGGAUAUGUUUGGCAACUGCUUUUGAAAAACAGAUUUUUUGGAAACCCAAAAUGUUUUUAAUAGUUUUAAAAAUAAUUUUUAUAUUUAGUAUUUUAUUUUUAAUCAUUUUAUAUAUUUGUAUAAUUAUUUUUUAAAAUAACUCUUAUAAAACAAAUGAAAACAGUAAAAAACAACUAAAAAAUAUUCUUCAAAAAUACAAUUUUUUUGUUCUUAAGAACAUAAAUAGAAAAUAAUUUUUUAUUGUCAAACAUGUUUUCUAGCCUUUUUUUGUUUUGGAGAACGAAAAAUUGUUCUAAAAAACAAUUGUUGAAUAGACCUUAAGGCUUUGUUUAAGAUGUGUUUUCAAAAAUAGUUUUUGAAAAUUGUUCUCUAAUAUUUUUUAACAUGUUUUUUUUAACCUUUUUUAAUAUAUUUUAAAAAUAAUUUUUAAAUGUGAUGCUUUAUUUUUUUUUAUCAUUCUCUAUAUUUAUAUUAUUAUUUUUUUAAACAGUCUUCAUAAAAUAGAUGAAAAUAAAUGAAAUAAAUAAAAGAUGCAUGUUUUCCAAAAUUUCUUUUUUUUUUUUUCAAUUUUAAGAAAGAAAACUAUUUUCUAUUUUCUAUUUUCUAAUUACUAAAUAUGUUUUUUAUUUUUAUUUUUUAUCUUAGAGAACAAAAAAUUGUUUUUAAAAACAAAUACCAAACCCGAGUUAAUAAUUUUGAAGAAUUAUCCCAAAAAACAAAGAACAAGACAAACUUAAACUUGUAUGACAUAUCCAUCUUCAUGUGAAAGAAAAAUAAAACUAAAAACUAUUCAAAAACGUUAAAUGAAUACUAGAAACAUGUUUUCAAAUCCUUCUCAAUAAGAAUAACUUUUUAAAUUAGAACAAUUUUCAAAUCCUUGUCCAUAUCACAUAGAUGAAUAAAAAUUCUAAGAUGCUUCGAAAGAUGUUUCAUACAAAUAUUCUAAAAUAUCAUAUUGUAUUAUUAGUCAUUAUGAUAUACUCUAUCUACCUAUAAACUCCUUUAAAAACUUAAAUUAAAAUAAUCAUUAUUUUAAAAACGAUCAAUUGAGCUUAACAAAACCUAACCUCUAAUCCAAGGUACUCAACUCAAUUCCAACUCAACUUUAUUCCUCUAAACUCGAGUUGAGUUCAGAUUAUUCAUGUUAGACUCAGAUUUAUAGAGUUAAACUUAAGUCAAUUGGAUUAAGUUCAAGUUGAUUAAAUUACAUAAUUUAAAAUAUAUCUAUCCAACCCUCCAUCUAAUCUAUUGAAAUAUGUGAUAAAAUUUAAAUACUUAAUGGAAAUCCAAAUAAAUAUGACUAAAAUAUAAUGAUACAAAUGAAUGAAACUUAAGUAAAAAAUAAUUAGAUCGAAAUAUUUAUACGGAUAUUUACAAUUUGAUAAUGACUUUCUAUAAGAAAAGCCUCAUUGAUGAGUCAUGGUUCAUGAAUGCCAAUCCAUUUAGACAGAACUACUUUUGUCUAUUUCCAAACCAUUUUUAAUAAAGUCAAUAUUGAUAUAGUAAAUAGUUUGCCACGUUUUAUUUGAUUCUAUUUAAUAAUUGUAUUAUCAAUAGUGUAAUUGGAUGUACGAUGUGUCAACCCAAUUAGGCAGAUGUCCAUUUCCAAAUUUAUUUUCAACAUAAGCCACAUGCCCCGUUUGACGUAGGAAAAUGCCUUGUUGACACGUUUUUUUUUUUAAAAUUAUAUUACAUCAAUGCAGUAAGUUUGUAUUAUUGCUUUCAAGUGAAGGUGAAAUAAUUUUACAUUACAGAAAUUAUAGUGAUUUUAGAAAGUGUUUUUAAUAUUUUAAUACUUAAAAGAUAAAAAAUUUAAAAUGUUAAAAAUACUAAAAUUGCUUUCAAAAAUCACUAUCAAAUACAUUCUAAAAUUUCUUUGACGAACGAUUUUGAGGGAAUAAAAUACUCUUUUAACAUAGAAAGUUGUUUAUUAUAAAAAUUAAAGUAUUUAAUAAAAAAUUUAAAAUAAUUUUAAAACAUUUAUUUAUUUUUUGUAUAAAAUAUAAUGACUCUUAUGAGUUUUCAUUGAAAAAGUAAUAAUUUUAAAAACUAUUUAAUAUUAAAAAAAUAUCUUUUUUAUUCCUUUCACUUUGAUUAUAGUCCAAUAAAAAAUAAUGAAAGUAUUUUCUUUAUUUUAAAGUCAACAAAUGAUUUAGAAUGGUCUAUUCUCAAAUAACUAAAUAAAAAACACAUGUAGUUUUUUUUUGUGAUUUCUCAAAUUUGUCGGAAGAUUUUGUGAAACAUUUUCUUCUGUGUGGAGUCAUUUUGUCAAUCUCCAUCAUUGAAAGAAUUUACCAUUAUUUAUAGGCAAAAUUAGCCAAUUAAAUUUGGAAUAUUCAAGAUUUAAUUGCUUAAUUAGAGAAUUUCGUUCUUUAAUUUUAGCAACUUGUUUUCUUUCUUUAGGAAAUUUCUAAAGAAAAUAUUUAUUUUUAAUUCUCUUCUUACUUCAAUUAAAAAAUUAGUCUCCUUUGUUUAGGAAAAUAUUUAUUUCUAAUUCUCCUUGACUUUGAUUUUAUUUUGUCCGACUUAAUUUUGUAGUCAUCCAAAUUUAAUUUGUUUGGUAAAAUAACUUAAUGAUAUGAAUUAAAGUUAACAACAACUUUAAGUAAUAAGUAAAAACAAUUAACUUAUUUUAAGUUCAUAUUUUCAUUUUUACCUUUUUACUCAUAUUUGUCCUAUUACUCCUAUGAUCUUUUUUUACUGUUCCACGACGUCCAUUAUUACUUGAUAUAUUUUGUCCUAAUUAUAAUUUAUGAGAAUAAAUAUAUCAAUUUGAUGAUUUAGAAUAAAUUUUAAGUUAAUUUUAUCAAACAAUCUUAAUACUUAAAGUAAGAAUUAAAUAAUAAAUUUUAAGUUAACAAUUUAAAUAUAAUUUAACUUAAAAUCAACUUAAGUUAUUAAGUAAUGAAUAUUAAGUUUUACCAAACAACUUUGUUGUUUGUUUGAAAAUAGAUUAUGUUUUUUAUUUUUAAAAAUGAAAAAUAGUGGUAAGUUGUAUAUAUCAUGUAUAUAAUAACUUUUAUUUAUAGAAUUAAAAAAAAUUUAUAUUUUUAAAAUUUGUAAAAAUAAAAAUAUUUUAGUAUUUCAAUUUUUUUUAGAACAUUUUUCAAAAGCCAUUAUGUUUUUUUUUCUUCUUUUUAAGAUAAGUAUAAAGGACUUUUUGUAUUUAAAAUAAGAAAUCAAAAUGCCAACAUGGAAAAAGAGAAAAGAUACAUGCAUGAACGUUUUAAUUGAGGGAGGCAUCCGACCCUCUUCAAAUAGUUUUUAGAAGAGAUUAUGACUUAAUAUGCUAAUUGAGUUCAAAUUCUAUAAGUUUAAAUUUUUAAGAAAAUUGAUAAGUUUUUUUAUUUAUUUAUUUUUUUAUUAUGAAAGUAUUAAUAAUUCAAAUUUUAUAUAGUCUAUUUUUUUGUAAUUUUAAAAAGCACUUUUAAUAAAAAAAAAUUUAAGAAAAAUAAGAUAUUUUGAAAAAUUUAGGAAAAGCUUUUAUAAAGUUUAAAAAUCACUUCUAAAACUUAUUAGAGAAGCAUUUGAAAGAAGAUUCUAACCAAAACACUACCCUUCAAACCAUCCUUAUCUCCUGCACUCCACUUUUAAGAUAAGAAAUCAAAAUGUGGACAUGGAAAAGGUGAAAAGAUGCAUGCAUGAUCCAUGAACGUGUUAAAUGAGGCAUCCCGGCCCUCUGCAAAAAUGUGAAAUAUGGGCUAUAAAUAGGGCAUAUUCCUACAUCCAACAGAUUCAUUAAACCACCAACCAAACAAUAAUCAAUGGCUCUCCAUAGCUUUGCAGCAGUAGUAGUAGUAACGCUAGUCUCUUGCCUGCUGGCUCCUCCUGCAGUCGAGGCCUCAUCAGUCAAUAUCUCUACUUACUGGGGCACUGAUGCAAGAGAAGGUAGCGUGGAAGAUGACUGUAACGCCUCCUUGUAUAGUAUCUUCAACAUCGGUUUCGUAGACAGAUUUGGAUAUGACUGGCCUCCAAGACUCAACAUCCACCACUGUAACGCAUCAGUACAGGGGUGCAAGUACCUGGGCACUGAAAUAAAAGUUUGCCAAGAAAGGGGGGUUAAAGUGCUCAUCUCUAUUGGAGGCCCGGGUGGAGACUACAACCUCGCCUCUUCAGAUGAUGCUACGUAAGUUAGUUGCUAAAACUGAUGAUGAUGAUGAUUUAACAGAAAAUAAAAUCGUUUUAAAAAACAGUUGCCAAACAGGGCUAAGCUAAUUAGGUGCCUUAUUGAUUGAUUUUCACUUCAUUUUAAUUUGUAGGGAGCUCGCAAACUACUUGUGGAACGCCUAUCUUGGUGGCAACCAAUCGACUGUUGAUCGUCCGUUUGAGGAUGCAAUUCUGGAUGGAGUUGACUUCUUCAUUCAGGCAGGCAGUACCCUGUAUUGGGAUGUGCUUGCUGAGGCCCUUAGAAACCUCAGCAAUAAUGGAACCCAGAUGGAAUUAAGUGCCACUCCCAAAUGCAAAUACCCAGACGAAUACCUCGGCGCUGCAAUUCAAACCGGGCUCUUUGAUUAUGCUCAGGUGCGAUUCUAUGAUGAAGAUGGCUGCCAGUAUAAUGGCAGCUUCGACGGCAUGAAGAGUGCGUGGGAUGAAUGGACAGCUGAGGCUAAUGUGGAUAAAAUAUUUGCGGGAGUGACUGCAUCUGAAUCUGAUCAAGGUUACGUUGAUGCAGAUGAUCUGGCCUCUGAGUUCCUACCAGAUGCUGAGCAGUCCCCAAAGUUUGGAGGUCUGAUGGUGUGGUAUCUCUACACUGACCAUCAGUCCGGUUACAGCGCAAGGAUCAAAGCUUUGAAUCCUACAAUUCAAACUGCUCCUUCAGGAGUUGAAGUUGAAUAAGCAGAUCUGUAUGAAUGGCGGCUGAUCAUCCCAUGAUCAGUAAGCUUAAGUACGUACUUUGAAAUAGUAUUGUAACGCCUGCUGUUUGCUUUUCAUUCAAUAAAUUUGGCCUCUCAUGCAUAUUUCCUCACAGAGACACAUGUGAUCUGGGGGGUAAAUAUAUAGGUAUGAAGCCAAAACAAGCUUGUACCUAGUCUGAUGUAUCCCUGUUAAUGAAGUUGUGUGGUUUGUGUGAUAAAAUUACCUUUAGCCUGCCUGUUGGUAUCUUCCAUUUACAAAUGCAAAUGACACUUGAUCUACAUUAUUACUUAUAUAAUUUAUUUAUUUACUUACUCUUCUAUUUUCAUAUUUCUUUAAUAUAUAUUAUUUCUUUUUUAUAAAUAAAAAAAUUACUUAGUAUACAUGCUUCCGGUAUUUCUUUAUUCUUUUAUUAUAUUGUUCUUUUUUACCAAAAAAAAAAAUUAUUUAUUUACUUGAUCUUCUAAUUUCAAAACCUUUUCGUCCUUUUUUUUUUUUAAUAUAUAUUCUUUUUUAUAAAGAAACUUGAAUUAUUUAUUCACUAAAUUAUUCAUCUAUUAAAUUAUUAUUAUUAUUAUAUUUCUUCAAUUAUAAAAGGCAUAAAUCCUAACUCUCAUAGUUAAUAGUGGUUACUCAGGGCUUUAUUUCUAGGGUUAUUUUUUUGGAAGAAACAAAUGGAGGCGUUAGGGUUUGUUUUUGCUACAUACAAUAUUUUUCUAUUUAUACUAAACCUUUAUUUACGUAAUUUUCUAUAUUUAUUUAUUAUUUUAUUUAUUUCUCUAUUAUUGCUAGAUGUUAUAUUUAUAAAAAUUUAAAUUAUUUAAUUACUCAAUAUUUUUUAUAUUUAUUUUUUGAUAUAUAUUAUUCUUGUUUUAGAAAAAAAAAAUUAACUAACUUUUUAUUUACUUAAUUUCAAGUUUUGAUAUUUCUUAAAAUCUUUUUUAUUUCAUAUUUUAAUAAAUGAUUAUUUUUUAUAACAUAAAAUAAAAUAAUUCCAAAUUGAUUAAGUCAUUCAAAUAAAAUAAAAAUAAAAAAAGGUAAAUAUUGUUAAGUAACAACAUAUCAUAAAAAUUUAAAAUAUUUUACUUCUUGGAAAUGUUAAAAGUAAAUUAUUGAUUUUUUUUCUUUAUUUUUUAAUACAUAAUACAAAUAAAAUAUUUAAAAAAAUGAAGAAUUUAACACUUAACACUAUUAAUAUUAUUCAAUUUUAAAUUCUAUUUAAAAUUAAGAAAAAAAAAAACAUCGCCUUACUAUAGAAUUAAAUUAGAUAAUCUAAUAUAAAUUAUUUAUAUUUAAAAAAAAUUAUUUUAUAUUUAAUAAUACCAAAACAACUCUCACUUGUGCUUUUACAUCUCUUCCUCAACUUCAAAGAUAAUAAUGAAACAUAUUUUUCUUUAAGUACUCAACCCAAUUUAUCCUAAUAGAACAAAACAGAUUUAGAAAAAUCCUAAACCGGUUAGAAACGGGUUUAAGAAGAUAUUGGUUAUAGUAUUACCUCAUCCCAGCUCUAUGUCUUUAUCAUUUAUAUGUAUAAUUAAAUAAAAAUAAUAGUUCAUUUUUAUUUUUUAUUUAAAAAAAAUUAAAUAUGGGAUGACAUACCCAAGUUGCCACCUCAAUUGGGCGAAGCUAACCAUCAUCCUCAACCCACGCACAAUAUCACAAUUAAUUAUAUAUGCAUGCCACCAUAAUGAUGAUUGAAAGGUAGGAUCACACCCCCCCUUUUUUUUUUUUUAAUUUUAUUAAAUUAUGAUUUUAAAAAAAAUGUAUAGAUGUCUCAAUGUUUUAGAGGUGAAAUAUUUAGAAAAGUUUUUUAAAUAUUAAAAAAUGUAUUUCAAAAUCAAAUAUCAAGAUAUAAAUUUCAAAGUAGGUUGUAUUGAAUUUAAAAAAUAAUAAUGUCAACUCAAUUUUAAUAGAAAUCUUUUUAAAAUACAAUCCCAAAUAGUAAUUAUUUUUAUUUCUAUUUUUAUUUUCUGUUAAAUAGAUUUAGCAAAUGAUAUGUGUUUAUAUUUGAAUUUGACAUAUGAAUUCUUUAUAAAAAUUGAACCACAUAAUCACCAAAUCUUAACUUGAACUUUCCUUAAAGUUCAAACCUCCUUAUUAUUUUUUUUGUGAAAAAUACGUUUUAUAUCAAAUAAAUUUAUUAAAAAUAGAAUUCUUUUUUUCAUUUGAAUUUUGAGAAUCUCCAAUGUCUAUAAGUUUGAAAUUCAAAAAAUAAUUAUUUAUGCUUUUGAAAAAGAGUUAUUUGUAAAGAUUUAAUUGGCAAAGUUUCCAAAUUAUUCUAUAGAACUUUACAUUGAAGAGGUAUAUCUUGUGUUUUUGAAUUUAUUAAUUAUUUUUUAAAAUAAAAUAAUAUAUAAAAAUGGAAAUAUACGAACUCAUUCUCAUUGAAGAUAUUAUAUAUACUAUUAAGAAAGAUUCUAUGUUCUUCUCUAUGAAAGAACCCAUAAACACACCAUAACAUAAUGUUUGCAAAAAUUACAAAGGAGGAGGAGGAGAAAGAGAAAUUACAAAGGAGGAGGAGGAGAAAGAGAUAUAAACAAAUAAAAAAGAAUAAUAGCUUCACGCAAAUUUUGGAGAAAUCCAAAGUAGAGGUUGUGGGGAAUGUGGGAAAAGCAGUGUAACAGUCCUAUCACUUAGACUGAAAACAUACAUACUUCCAUCAGCAUUUGAAAAAAAACUACAACGUUGGCAGAAGUAUAUAGAAUUUGGCCGGCAUCCCGCAAAAUCAGAAGCUAUGACAGAAAUUGAAUGAUUGUCUCCCAAAAACAAGGCAACAUCGCCCAAACUCAUAACCUCUUCCCAUCUUGGAUUCUUUGAAAAUCAUUGUAACUUAUAAAUCACAAAUCCGGCCCCCUUCAUGCUUUGUAACCUGCAAGAGAUCUCCUUCAGGAGAUUCCACUGGAUUCUUUGAAAACCAUUGUAACUUAUAAAUCACAAAUCCCCUUUCAUGCUUUAUAACCCGCAAGAGAUCUCCUUCAGGAGAUUCCACCAAAUAUGAGUCAAGAGCACAAUGAAUAUCGGGUGAAGUAAUCCUUCUCACUUUAAAAUCAUUACUCACAUCACAAGAGAAGAGCACACCCCGUCCGUCUAAUACAUAGAAUAACCCAUUGCUGUAAACAAUGUCUUUCACAUCCCGCAACCCUUCAAUAUAAGUCCAGUCUUCUUCUCCUGAUUUAAUGAAUGCUAAUCUUACUACCAAACUACCACACGUCAUAUGAGUACAAACUCGUCCCCAUUCACAUCAGGAUCAAUAGACAAUACACCCCUCCUCGGGUUAUAAGGGAAGAUAGUUCUGUACACACUGCCUGAAAGUUCACGGAAUGAUGAUUUUUCGAGGGGAGGAAGAUGAAUGAGUUUUCCAGAGAAUGGGUUGUGGAGGGUUACCUUAUAAGAAUCAUUAUUUACCAGAAUCAACCAGCCAUGAGAAGACCCUCCACACCUCCAUCGCCCCUGCCUCAACUGAACCUCCCAAAGGCUUUUUCCGUUCAUGACGUCAUAUAAACAGCACCUUUCUCUGGAAUUAUCUGCGGUGGGAGCCAUUAACAAUGGGACUUGUUGGUGCAGACGACAAUGGCGUUUAUGGUUAGAGCGUAAAUGUUGAAGUUUUUCGCGAACUGCAUACUGCCAUUGAAUGCAAACCUCACCGAAUGUGAAGUAGUCCUCCAUGGGCACUAAGUAAUCUAAGAUCGAACCGAGAAGAUUUAUACAGAGUGAUGCCCAAUCUGAACUUGAGGGCAAAGCCAUUCUUCUGAUUGUGAUCGAGAAGAGGAAGAAGAUGAUGAAAAAUUAGGGUUUAACAGAUUAGGGUUUAACGUAUAUAAAAAAAAAUAAAGGGUGGGUGCAUGUAUAUAUAUAGGACUGAGUACAAAUUUGGAAACCUAAUUUCAAUCCAAAUAUAACUCUAUAGAUUUAUAGAAUUUAAUAAUAAAAUUUAAUCGCAUUAUAAAAUAUUUUAGUUAAUUUAAUUUAUAUCUAUAUCUAUAAAUUAAGUAGACUUAUUUUUUUUUAAAUAAUUUAAAUAUUAAAAUUUUCUUUUUAUUUUCUUAAAUCGCAUUAUAAAAUUUUCUUAAAUAGCUCAUCAUGCAUUAUAAAAUAAUCUUUUUAUUUUUUUUCCAUAUUUUUAUUCUUUUGUUUCCAUAUAUUGUUCAUGUCUUAUUCAUUACUUGAACUUUUAAACCUUCUAUUUUCAUAUUUCUUUAAUAUAUACUAUUUCUUUUUAUAAAAAAAAAAAAAAUUUACUUAGUAAACAUGCUUUCGGUAUUUCUUUAUUCUUUCAUGUAUAUUAUAUAUAUAUAUAUAUAUAUAUAUAUAUAUAUAUAUAUUUUAACUUGAUUUUCUAUUUUCAAAAUCUAUCGUCCAUAUUUUUUAAAUAUAUGUUAUUUUUUAUAAAAAAAAACUUGAAUUAUUUAUUGACUAAAUUAUUCAUCUAUUAAAUAAUUUUAUUAUUAUUAUUAUUAUUAUUAUUAUUAUUAUUAUUAUUAUUAUUAUUCUAAUUAAAUUAAAAAAAGGCAUAAAUUCUAUAUCUCAUAGUUAAUCACGGUAGAAUAUUUUUAUUUUCUUUUUGUUCAAAUUUGAAAUCUAUUAAUCAGUAUAAUUAAUUGAUUCCUACCUAGGGCAUUAUUUCUAGAGUUAUUUCUUCCAAGAAACAAAUGGAAGGGUUAGGGCUUGUUUUUGCUACAUUCUUAUUUUUCUAUUUGCACUAAACUUUUAUUUGCUUAAUUUUCUAUAUUUAUUUAUUAUUGUAUUUAUUCCUUUAUUAUUGCUAGAUAUUAUAUUUAUAAAAAUUUAAAUUAUUUAUUUACUCAAUAAGUUUUAUAAACAGAAAUAUUAAUGUGAACAUGGCAAAAGAGAAAAGAUUCAUGCAGAAUCGUAUUAAAGGAGACGUUCCCUCUCCAAAGUAUCGUACGAUCCUCAAUAAUAAUAAAAGUGUUGGUGCAUAUAACACGUACCAAUUAUUAUCAAAAGAUGCAUGCAUGAACGUGUUAAAUGAGGCAUCCCUUAUGCAAAUCAAGUGGUUUCUUGACAUUAAAUUCAUACCCGAAAGUCUAUAACAAGUUUCUUGCAAUCUUCUUCCACAAACGUGUAGAUUUGACAAACAUUUUGAUACAUAUAGUCCAACAUAUGUACCUAUAAAUUUCCAUACCUUCCUCUCAAUUUUUCAUCCAAGCAACAAAGCUCAAUGGCACACCGCUCUCUCCUUUCAUUGGCCCUCCUCAGCUUUUUCUUUCUUGCCUUGAUCUCCAACACUAAUGCAGGUACAAUAACAGUCUACUGGGGCCAAAAUGGGAACGAGGGCAGCUUGGCUGAUACCUGCUCCUCGGGCUAUUAUGGAAUUGUCAAUAUUGCUUUCUUGGUUGUUUUUGGCAAUAACCAGACUCCGCAGAUGAAUCUAGCUGGCCAUUGAGACCCGAACUCUGGUGGUUGAUCAUGGUUGAGUACUGGCAUUAAAGCAUGCCAGGAUCAAGGCAUCAAGGUGUUGCGAGGUGCCUCGGGAAGCUAUACCUUGACCUCUGUAGAGGAUGCCAGGUGAUUAUUCUUCUCAAAUACGUAGACUAUGUUUGGUUCCUAAGAAAAAAAUACUAAAUAAAAUGAUAUUCGAUUUCCACCCAUUUUUCUUUCUUUCUAUUUUUUCUCUUUAUUUUCUCUCCCUCUCAUUUUCCCUCAAACUUUCGGGGACCCAAUCAUAGCCAUAGCCAUAGCGUCUAAUCCUUGUGGGAUCAAUGCUGAUUUUGUUGUUGUGAUGCAGGCAAGUUGCAAAUUACCUAUGGAACAAUUUUCUUGGGGGCCAAUCAAGCUCACGACCAUUAGGAGAUGCUGUUUUAGAUGGGAUUGAUUUUGACAUUCAGGGAGGCACAACCCAGCACUGGGAUGAACUAGCCAAGACCUUGUCGGAGUUCAGCGGGCAGAGGAAGGUGUACCUAUCAGCAGCUCCACAGUGCCCAUUUCCGGAUGCAUGGAUGGGCACUGCCAUUGCCACAGGCCUAUUCGACUAUGUUUGGGUCCAAUUCUACAACAAUCCCCCCUGUCAAUACUCCGGCAACGCCGACAACUUAAUCAACUCCUGGAACCAAUGGACCACGAUUGAAGCUGGUCAAGUAUUUUUGGGAUUGCCGGCAGCCCCAGCAGCAGCUGGGUCUGGCUACAUCGAACAGGACGUGCUCGUCUCCCAGGUCCUGCCGUCCAUCAAGACUUCCCCCAAGUAUGGAGGUGUCAUGCUUUGGUCUAGAUAUUAU
rnacentral:lncRNA from 1 species